rnacentral:rRNA from 1 species
UGCCAGCAGCCGCGGUAAUACAGAGGGUGCGAGCGUUAAUCGGAAUGACUGGGCGUAAAGGGCGAGUAGGUGGAUAGUCAAGUUAGAUGUGAAAGCCCUAGGCUUAACCUAGGAAUGCCAUUUAAAACUGACUGUCUAGAGUUUGGGAGAGGGAAGAGGAAUUUCCGGUGUAGCGGUGAAAUGCGUAGAUAUCGGAAGGAACACCAGUGGCGAAGGCGACUUCCUGGCCCAAAACUGACACUGAGUCGCGAAAGCGUGGGGAGCAAACAGGAUUAGAUA